GUAUCAUUCAUUCAGGUAUGUAUGCAUGUGUUUAUUAUUUAUCCAGUUUUUAAAUAGUGUUAGAAUACACAUAAUUCAAUAUAUAUUUAUUGAUCAACUGAUAUGUGCCAGGCCUGUGUUUGUGCUGGCAACAGAACAGUAAUGAAGACAGAAGAGAAGCAAAGGGAGACAGCUUGACAAGGAAACACCUGGCUCCUCCAACCCCUCAUUUACAUGUGUAUAGGUUGGUGGGGGAAAAACUGACCUAAACUGAAAAUUAGACAAACUAUUUAUUACACAUAGUACACGAACAAAAUACAUAAAUAUGACCAAAAAAAAGUAAAGGGAUUAUGACUAAAAGAGUAUAGGAACUAAUCUAACCUAGGGGGUCGGAGGAGGUAGCCAGUAAGUAUAGUCUUGUUUAGCGUAAAACACUCAAACAACCUCCCCCUGCUCAAAAAAAAAAAAAAAACCGAAAACAUGGCUUUGGUUUGAUAAGCAGCACAGUUCAGAUUCAAAUAUUCCUAGAAGUGUGUGGUCCUAGGCCUUUAAAUGACAUAGCAUCUGGCCAGGCACUAUGGCUCGUGCCUGUAAUCCCAGGUCUUAGGGAGGCAGAGGUGGGAGGAUAGCUUGAGCCCAGGAGUUCGAGACCUGCCUGGGCAAUAUAGCGAGACACCAUUCUCCACAAAAAGGAAAAAACAAAAAGACAAAAAAAAAAAAAAAAAAAAAAAGAAAAGACAGAAUUCUACGACAGAUGGUGGCUAUUUGCAUGAUGAAGUAGAAUAGUAGAACAAACCGAGGUUGACGAGAUUUCAAAAAUCCCGAUUGGCUUUAGUUACCGAGUGACUUCUGGGAAAAAUGUGGUUUUAAGAAAAGAUGAGAUUGGUGUGUAGGUGAAGAACUAGGAGAGAACUCCAGAUCUAGGAAAUAGUUUGGAAGGAGUAAAAAGCAAACAAGAGGUAAACAGAAUUAUGUGAUGGGUGGAAAACCACAGGAGCCCAUCAGAAAGGCUGGGCCUUACGGGCACAGACAAUGAAACCAGCUAGAAGGGCAGGAAGUGCACCCUGGGGUGGCCCUCCCCACACAGGAACCUGACCUGGACAGGAAGUGAAGGGCAUCAUCUGCGGAGCAGGAAGGGGAGAUAUAAGGGAAGCUUUCAUUUGGUCUCUUUUUGAAUCAGAAGACCCAGAAAACUUGGAUCCACUUCUGGCUCUGAUCCUUCUUGGCAGCAUGAUUUGGAGUAAGCCAUAACUUGUCUCUGUGCCAUCUUCCUGUUUAGGAAGGGGCUACUAAUAGCGCCAGUUUCACAAGGUUAUCUGAAUAAGGUACUUUCCUGGUUUUAAAGCUGAAAGUCCCACAUUCCUUGUACUUUUCCAGGCCUGGAUAAACGAGACAAGAGUGCUGACACGAAGUGCCAGAAGCCAUGCUUGCUGGGAUUGAGAAUAUCGUAUUUAUGGUUUGAGCGCCUGAUGGUGUGACUACUCCUCUAUUGCACAUGCUAAUUCCUUGAACAUUACUAAAGGACCCUCUGAACUUGUCAGUCUGCUUUUCCAAUCCUUUUUUUGGUUAUUGUGUUCGGUGUACUUUUAUGUGAUGGUCAGUGGGGUGUGGCCACAAAGCAGAGGCUCAGGAAAAAAAAGUUCAUUCCCCAGAGGGUCUGGAAGAGGAGGCAUAUUUACUGGGGUUUCCAUGGGAAAGGCAGGGCAGAGUAAACUGGUUAGAAUUGGCUAGUUUGAAUAAUUCCUGUAAGCUUUGGGCUAUAGGAGUGGUCUUUGGUUGCCUGGUAUGUGUCCCUGGGAUGAUUAAGGCCGUGGAAUAUUUCCGCCUGGUAGAGGAGGUAUGGCUCUGGACUGGUUAGUUUGCAUAUCAAAGGCAUUCUCCAUGAGCCCAUUGCUAUUUCUAAGAACUGGCUAACCUGAAAGGGGCAAUCUCUCCUCAGCUAGAUUUUUAAGAUGUUGAAACAUAACAGGUUGGACCCGGUGACUCAUGCGUGUAGUCCCAGCACUUUGGGAGGCCAAGGCAGGCAGAUGCCAUGAAGUCAGGAGUUCCAGACCAGACUGGCUAGCACUGUGAAACACCAUCUCUACUAAAAAUACAAAAAUUAGUGGGGAUGGUGGCAGGUGCCUGUAAUCCCAGCUACGUGGGAGCCUGAGGCAGGAAAAUUGCUUGAACCCAGGAGGCAGAGGUUGCAGUGAGCCGAUAUUGUGCCACUGUACCCUAGCCUGGGUGGUAGAGCAAGCCUCUGUCUCAAAUAAAUCUAUAACUAACUAAAUAAAUAAUCAUAACAAAUAGAAGAAAACUCAAAAAUACAGUUUGACACUUCAUUUCUUCUCAGAGAGUGAAGGCAGCGUGGCAAAGCAGAAAGAGCAAGGUCUGAAGUAAAAUAGUAUGGGCUGAAUUCGUGGCUUCGCCCAAUAUGAACGGUAAAGUGUGGGCAAGUCUGUUGACUUCUUUGCGUCUCAGUUUAUUAUCUACAAAAUAGGCUUAGUUCUUUUCAUGAUUGCUGCGAGGACUAGAUAGGAUGAUAUAUGUGAAAGUUCUUAGUAGGUUCAGAAAUUAUACUAAAAAAGACAAACAAAUCCACAUGCUACGAUGCAGUAUGGACUAUCUUCAGUCAUCUACACGUCAAAGGUGCUCUUAAAAUGCUGCUGGUUUGGUAAAUGUUGGAGUAAACUAGGAGUCAGAGAGUAUGGGAUUCACCCUUAUCUGCUCUCGGGCUUUGGUUUACAAUGAGCUGAAGUGUGGGGAUUUUGUCAAAUGAUUCCUGGAAUUCCUUACAUUUCUAAAAUUCUAUGACUUUGUGAAGUCUGAAAAAUGUGAAUCUGAGGCGUAUGUACUGUAGAACAACUAUUGGACCAUUUACUACAUUUUACAUAUAUAUAUAUAUUUUUGAGAUAGAGUCUUGCUCUGUUGCUUAGGCUGGAGUCCAGUGGCGUGAUCUCAGCUCACUGCAACCUCUGCCUCCUGGCUUCAAGCCAUUCUCCUGCCUCAGCCUCCCAAGUAGCUGAGAUUACAGGUACAUGCCUCCACGCCUCGCUAAUUUUUGUAUUUUUAGUAGAGAUGGGGUUUCACCAUGUUGGUCAGGCGGGUCUUGAACUUCUGACCUCAAGCAAUCCACCCACCUCGGCCUCCCAAAGUGCUAGGAUUACAGGCGUCAGUCACUGCGACCAGUCCUAUCACAUUAUGUUUUACAAAAGCCAUCAUCCCACACCUUUGAGUCCAGCCCCAGAAAGAGCGGUCCCUUGUGCACCAUUCAACAUGACCUUGGCCAUCCUUUCCCCAGCAUAGCUGUUUGGGCUAGGGUUGGAAACCUGUCCAUGGUAGUCCCCUUGAAGUUUCCUGCUGGACACUCGGGAUUAGAAUGGAGAGAGUCAAGUUAACAGACAGUAAUGCUGGACCUGAAUGGUCGCCAGCACUUGUUGGAAGCUGAGAGUACCAUCCAAUGUAAGCCAUGGUGGAUGGUCUAAUAGGAGAGCAAAGGAAGGCAAUCUGGGAAUGGGUUGGAUGGGGAGGGAGAAAAGGUGGGGGAAAGAGAGAAAUAUAAAAUGAUAGAAGCAGAGGAAGAGAUAACGUGGCAAUGAAGAAGGUAACAUCUUUGGUUAUUUUCUGUUCCAAUCACCCACAGGCCUACUGUUCUUUCUGCAGUUGAGUUCUGUGACGUUUCCUUCUGUUCUCUUUCACCUAAGUAGAUUUUAGUGGCUUUUCUAGUCUUGAUCUCCAACCAUGCCCAAAGACAUAUGGUAACACAGACUGAGGAUUCUCUGAUGGCAGGGCUUUUGUCUCAUUCCUUUUUGCAACAAGCACAAAGUAGAUGCCCAGUGAAUUUAUACUGAAAUGACAUGAAAAUCAUAUGUUUGCGUAUGCAGUGUCACUGACAGCAUUUAUAUGAAAAAGGUUAAUUAAAAUAGAUAAUUAUGAUGUUUCAACAGGCAUUUCCCUGGAUCUUCUCAUUUGAUCUACAAGUAUUUUUUCUUUUCUUCUUGUUUUUUAGAGAUAGGGUCUUGCUCUGUUAUAUGGACUGGAAUGCAGUGGUGUGCUCAUAGCUCACUGCUGCCUCAACCUUCUGGACUCAAGUGAUUCUCCCACUUCAGCCUCUCUAGUAGCUGGUACUACAGGCAUGUGCCACUAUGCCCAGCUAAUUUUUCAAAACUUUUUUUUAGAGAUAGGGAUCUCUCUAUGUUGCCCAGGCUGGUCGUGAACUCCUGGCCUCAACAGAUGCUCCCACCUCAGCCUCCCAAAGUGCUGGGUUUAUGGGUGCGAGCCACCACAUCCAGUCCACAGGUAUUUUUGAGUCCUGUCUUCACUGUGUUUUGGAACCCACACAGGAGCUAGCUCACUGUAGGCUUUUUUUUAAAAUGUCUGUUGAACGGAAUGGCCCAGGAUUGCUUUACAUAUUGUAGAGAUAUAAAAAGAAACAUAAUUUAUGGUUACUUCACAUAAGCAGCAUCCAGUAUAGUUGGGAAGAUACAUGAAAAAAAAAAUCAAACAUAGUGAUUUGCAGUGGCUUUCAAAUAGAUGGAAGAACAGAGAUUCAAGUUUUGUGGAAAAUGAGGAAGUUGAGUUACACCUUGAAUGCUGGAUGGGAUUUGGCAUGGUAGAGAUAGGAAGAAGAUAAAAUGCUUAGCAAAAGCUUGGGGGAGGCUGGGCACAGUGGCUCACACCUAUCAUCCCAGUGAUUUGGAAGGCUGAGAUGGGUGGAUCACCUGAGAUUGGGAGUUCGAGACCAGCCUGACACACAUGGAAAAACUCCAUCUCUGCUAAAAAAUACAAAACACUAGCCAGGCACAGUAGUCCAUGCCUGUGAUCCUAGCUACUAGGGUGGUUGAGGCAGAAGAAUCGCUUGAACUGGGGAGGCGGAGGUUGGGAUGAGCCAGGAUCGCGCCAUUGCACUCCAGCCUGGGCAACAAGAGUGAAACUCCAUCUGAAAAAAAAAAAGCUUGGGGGACAGUAAUGAGAGUUUUGUUGUAAACACAACUUACAAGUUAAUGAUUCACAUGGAGAAACCUGAGAAAUGGGGUCCAAGUACUGGAGGCAGUGGAGUGCCACGGCUAAGAAAGAGUGCUGUCUAUGGGGUAGAGACUUUCUAGAUUCAAAUCCCAGCUCCUCCCCACUGCCCCUGGCUAUGUGAUGUUGGGCAAUUUACUUAACCUUUCUCCGCCUCAGUUUCCUCAUCUGUAAAGUUUGGGAUAAUACUAGUACCCACUGCAUAGGGAUGUUGUACAAUUGGAGUGGACACUGUUUGUAAAGUUCUUAGAUUAGAGUCUGGCACUUAGUAAGCAUUUAAUCAAUGUUAAUUGUUAUUGUUUUUGUAAUGGAACUCUGAUGCUAUGACCCAAUUAAAAGAACUAUCCGGUUAAUUUUGGAUUGGGUAUAGAAGAGUAGAUCUCUUGGUCAUUAAGUAAGCUGGUUACUGUCUGAAUUGCUGCCGGAGUGCUGGUAGGAACUGGUUUACGGUCAGAAGAACAUGAAGUAUGUAGAACUCAGUGGAAGGCUUUGAGAGCCAGGGAGAGGAAGUUGGACUUGGAUGAGGGGCUGGGCACAGUCAUAUUUUCUGAGCAGGGGAGUAAUGUGAUGAAGGUGGGAGAAGAGCCAGGGCAGCAGGCAGUCCAGUGAGCACCAGUGAGGGAGUGAGGGGGCUAGUGUAACAAUUCAGGGGUAAGGUGAUGAAGGCCAAGUACAGGACCGGGGCUGUGAGAGGGAAACGCGGUAGGAAAUUGGAGAGACUUCAAAGGGAAGCUGUCUACUUCUUACCUCCUCUACUGCUGCCACCUGGUCCAGGUGACUGUCACUUCUUGUGUGGAUAACAGCAACGUUCCCCUAAGCUCUCUGCCUCUGGCCUUGCUCUGAGGUCUAAUUUCUUCACAUGUACUCCUUUGUAGUCUGGCAGUUCUCCUCCUGCACUCUGUGGGCAAGCUGAACACUCUGCUGGGAUCUACGAGGCCUGCGUGUGAAUCCUGCUUCCUCUGGCUUCAUCUCCUACUAGGAAUUGCUUCUCUCCCAUUGGUUGCAAAUGGUGGGACUGUUUUGCCCUGACUUCCCCUAGCCACUUGGAAAUGGUCCUAAAUUCUACAUUGGGAUCGGACUUUCCUGUUUGGAAGCUCCUCUCUUCAGCUCUCUAACCACCAAGGACUUACAUAAAAAGAUUGAGUGGAUGUGUUAAAAGGACAGUGUCUCACUUCAUGGCUCAGGCUGGAGUGCAGUGGCUUGGUUACCGCAGCCUUGACUUCCUGGGCUCAGAUGAUCCUCCCACCUCAGCCUCCAAAGUAGCCGGGACUACAGAUGGAGUCUUGCUCUGUUGCCCAGGCUGGAGUGCAAUGGUAUGAUCUCGGCUCACUACAACCUCUGCCUCCCAGGUUCAAGCAAUUCUCCUGCCCCAGUCUUGCGAAUAGCUGGGAUUACAGAUAAAACAGCUAGAGCUUCGAAAGACAGAGGAACUUGCCUGAGGCUAUCCAGCUACUCAGAGAUAAACUGGGGUGUGAAUUUAGAGAGUUUGACUCCUGAGGCUGCACCUAAUUCCAGCAUAGCACCUGGUAAUGGGCACUUGGUAGAUGCUUGUUGAUCUAAAUUGUAUAUGUGUGUGUGUGACUCACAUCCAAAACUACUAUCACUGAGGAAGUCGGGCAUGAUGUAGGAAAGAGAAACCUUUGCUGUUAAAUCUCAUUUUCAGCAAAACCGUCAGUGGAAAGGUGGCAUGGAAGGGACAACCAGCUCAUGUACCAAAUUACUCUCAGCUUGCUUGCUGUCUUAGACAUAUGUUCUGGGGGUGGCCAGCCCCUGUUUUACAUCUGUGUUAAUCUUCACAGAAUAAAAAGCAAAUUAGUAUUUAAUGGAGACUAUUAAUCUUGUCACCUAAUUGAGUAGAUCUAAUAAAUCUUUUCAUUUAAAACCCAAUGGGAAUUUCCAGUUGGAAAUGGGGGCGGGGGGAAUAUCCAAUCUCCAAAAUAUUUUCGUACACAAAGAUUAUAUAUGAGUUUGUGAAAGAAGUUGAAUAUUCAAUGAAAUUUAAUGACUAUGAAUCGAACACUUAUCCUGGGCCUAGAACUGUUGACAGUUGCUUUUGAGAGUUACAGAAUACAUUUACGAUGAUUACGGCAUUUACGAAUUUUGCUAUGUGGCUUGGGAGUAUCUGAAGUAUCUUAUAGUAGGUCUCCAAACUGGUAAUAAUAAAAAGUUCAGAUAUAUUAUUUCGUUACACUCCAUGAGGAUCAAACUUCAUCAUAACAUGAUUAUAAUUUGAAAUAUGAGUAAGAAAUCUGUGGAGUCAUGAUCUCUAUAAGCCCAUUCUUUGCUUCUUAAUUAAACUUUGCAGUUGAUAGAAACAUUGAAAGCAGAGCAUUAGCUUAUAAAUGAUUCACAAAAGGAUUGAUAACUCUCAUAGUAUACAUUUUAUGAGUUUUGUUUAAGAAGAGUCUAUUUUGUGUUAGAUAAAGUUAGCCAUUGUUUAGAUAUAGACCUGCAUUACUUUCUAUUCUAAAUUAAACUGUAAAUGGGAGUGCUUGUAAAUGCCUUGGUGCUUUUCAUUCUGUUUGGAUCAAUUAUUUAAUUUCCUUAUGUCAGAGUUCUUUCAAUUUAAAGGAAAAUGUUUCCUUUCCUUAUUCCAUCUUCUCUGAGCAUUAACCAGACAUUGGAAGUUGUAGCCUGGGAUUGUACUGGAGUUCUCACUGUGGUGCAUUUUUUCUUCACAUUCAGCACCCUCCCUUAAGCACACAUUUUCAUGACACCUGUUAAAUUACCUGGAAGAGAGUUCUAUACACUAGCAGUCAAUAAAUCCGAUUGUCUCAUUUUUAGCUAUCGUUGGGGUAAUAUGCCAAGACUUGUAUGAAUGAAGGGUCCAGAAAAAUAUCUGCUGUAGUGUGAUUUUUAAAAAUUUUUGUGUGAGAGGGUAGCAUGAGGUAGACUGGCCAAUUGGCGGGGUGGGUAGAGUGUUGUGCUUACAUGGGGGAAAGAAAGGAGUUUUGAUCUUCUUUAGCUGAAUGUUAUAAAACUUUAAAGAUCAAAUUUGAAUAAGUGUUGCAGAUGGGUUAGAUAAAAUCCAUGAAUUCAAAAUGUUUUUCCUCUUUCCAUUCACUAGUAACAGAAGCUUAAAAGAAGGAAUGUUCUAGAAAGUAAGAUAUAAAAUUUGGGUUAGGUUUACAAGUUGAGAGUUCCUCUUUGCCUUGCCCCUAAAUUAUUUUUAGGCCCCAGGCCUCUGAAGCCAAGGUAAUCUGCAGGGCAGCUUUAACAUUUUAUCAGCAGUCAGUGGUCUCUCCCCUUCCUUGUCCCUCCUAUCUUGUCAGCAAAUGGCUCUGUGGGAAACCAAUUCGGCUUCCUGUUUAAACUGUAGAAACAAUUCACUAGAUUCAAUAUCUAGCUUUUGAUUCUAUUUGCAAAAAUAGAGUAGUAAAAAGUUCCAUUCACUGGCCAAUACUUUUUUUCUUGGUCUGUUAAGCGUAUUUGGGUCAUUUUAUAGUUAACCUUGGCUGAGGGAGUGAAGUUCUUGGAAGCUCUUACUUACUUGAGAUUUUUUGGGUCUGAUAUGGACGCUUUGCAGGGCAGAAGCAUGGCUUGACUGACCCAAUGCCCAUUUAUGGCUCUCUUUACCCUCUCUGCCCUCUAUAAUAGAGAAAGGGGAAGCUGAAUAGUCACUGCUCUAACCUCCCCUGAAGCAAGGGGUGGCCUUGUAACGGUUUGCGCCAAUGUGGCAUAAGCAGAAUUCUGCCGAGUUGGGUUUUGGGAAUGGCUUUUGAUUUCCUAAUAAAAGUGGCCAGAACUGCAGGCACUAUUCUUUCCAACUCUCUUGGUCUUGAACAUGGCUACAAUGUCUGGAUCUAUAGCAGUCAGCUUGCAACUUUGAGACAAUAUGCCAGUCUAAAAAUGGUAGAGCAGAUUUAUAGAUGAACUCUUGGUUUUUAUUAGAUCAUGGAGCCCCAUAUUAUAUAGGACUGCUUCCCUUUAGACAUCAUACAUGAAAAAUAACUCCCUUUGUGGUAGGUUUAAUACAAGGCCACAAAUUCCUUCUCGGCUCACUGCAACCUCCACCUUCCAGGUUCAAGUGAUUCUCUUGCCUCAGCCUCCUGAGUAGCUGAGAUUAUUUACAGGUGCUUGCCACCAUGCCCAGCUAAUUUUUGUAUUUUUAGUAGAGAUGGGGUUUCACCAUGUUGGUCAGGCUGGUCUCAAACUCCUGACCUUGUGAUCUGCGUGCCUCAGCCUCACAAAGUGCUGGGAUUAAAGGCAUGAGCCACCACGUCCAGCCUACAAGGCCACAAAUUCUUUGACACUCCUCCCAGCAAAGUCUAAUUCACCCUCCCUUGAAUAUAGGCCAGUCUUACCAACUUGAUUCCAACCUAUAGAAUUCAGUAGAUGUGACCCUACACGACUCUCCAUGCUAGGUCACACAAAGUGAUCAGAUUUCUGCCUUUUUCUUCUUCUCUCUGACAUGUGCCUCGGGAAUGUUGAGCUGACAUGUUAGAAGUCAGUCUACACUGAAGCUGCCAUGCUGAAGAACUCAUGUGGGACAACACAUAGAGAUCAAGAUGCCUGAGGAGCUCCAGCUGUCCCAGCCCUCAGCUCUCUAAGUCUUCCCAGCAAGAACUGUCAAACAUGGGAGUGAAGCCACCAGCUCUCUGAGCCUUCCCAGCAAGAACUGUCAAACACAGGUGUGAAGCAGCCUUCAGGUGACUCUGGCCCCAGUCUUCAAGUGCCCUAGCUGGCGCCAAGCGGAAGAGACAAGCUGCCACUCACCAAGCCCUUCCCAAAUUGCAGACUAGGAGCAGAAUAAUUGUUACUUUAAGCUACUAAAUUUUGUUUUUUUAUAUAUUACAGUAACAGAAAACCAGAACCCCCCCUUUUUUUAAUGCCACUGUUAGUUGGAUAUUCUGUUACUUGCAGCCAAAAACAUCCUUAUCUGAAAUACUCAGUAGUAGAGAAGAUGAAAAGAAAUCACUAAAAUGAUCCUUUUGAGUUGUUGUAUGUGCUGAUUAUCCAAUCUAUUCCUCACUUCUUCUGUUUGUGGCAAUCAGUUUCACUGUAGUACUGUUAUCAUAACUUCCCAUUGAAGUCGAUGUUGCUUUAGUUAUAUAAAGAUUACAAUAAAGAAAAUAUUAGAAGCUUCUUCACCAUCAGGUAAAGCUUGAGAGUUCCUAACUUUAUAAAACUCUCAUCAAUUUUUGAAGCUGCUUUCUUAAUGAAAUGCUCCUAGCAUUUGACGGCUUUAUGUUUUCAUUGACAUUUGGAGCUUUUAAAAUAGAUAAAUAUUUAAUGUCACGUUUAAUAGGUCAGAUUCUCUGAAGAAAAUUUCCAUUAGUUAGUUUCCAUUUUUUAAAGAAUUGAUGGUCACUCAGUAUUGUUGGAAUUUUUAAAAAAAGGUUUUAAUCAGACAGUUAUUUUUAAGUCUGGCAUAUAGAAACUAGCAAGGUUGUUCUAGAUUCAUAUCCAUAUCCUUACAUGGGAGCUACACUAUAAAUUGAAAAUCUUUUAUCCCAAAGUAACAUAAUACUAUUUCUAGUGAUGGGAAUUCCUAAGCAGCUUUGCAAUAUUGUUUGGGCAGUCUUCUCAUUCUAUUGCACUGAAAAUUUAAACCUGAAAGAACAGAACUGCAACUCUUGAAGGCUAGUUGCACAAAAGCCAGCUUCAGUUUUGUAUCUUUGUUUACUCAAUGUCUACAUCCUUAAACUGUUGGCAAAUUCACAGCUGGGUGGAGCAGCAAAAAUGUCGUCAUGCUGAUGAUAUGGGGAGCGAUGGGUGUGGAGGCUAGAUUGGGGCAACAGAGGGGUCCUUGCAAAGAAAAGUUACAUAAGUGAUAUCAUAUGCAGAAGCAGCCUCUGGGUUGAAAAAUAACUGCACAGGGAGUGUCAGCCUUUGUUGGAUUUCACUCCCUGAUUUAUUAUCCUUACGGGUCAGACCUAUAUUCCUGGGUGGGCUGGAGCGUCUAAGUGCAGUGAAUUCCUAAUAGCAACCCUGCACAAUAGCUUUAAAAGCCUGGCAAUGUUUUUUAAAAAUUUUGUUUCAAGAACAGUGAGGUGCUGUAUGCAAAAGCUGAAUGAACAUCUCAAUAAAAAGCCAAAAAGGACAGAUGUUUCGUGCUGCACCUCAAAUUUGGUUGCUUCCAGCAUGAUUUCCUUAAACAAGCAGGAAACACAGAAAAAUGGAGAAGAUAACUGGUUUUCCACAGUAGCUCCAAAGCAGAUUAAAACAAGCACUGAUUUCCCAUCCUGUCCUCCUUCUGCCUAUCUAUCUUUUCUAGGGAACUUAAUUAUUAAUUCAUGAGACAUUGUCUGUAUUCAUGUCACCUGAUAUUUUUAUUUUUCUAAUCUGUGAAAAAUAAGUUGUCACUGUGCAUCUACCCUGUGUUAGAGAUUCCUUGGGAGCCCAUAUCAUAAUUUACUUGGUACUGAGCCGCCAUCUAGCACGUGAGAGAAAUAUAUAUAUAUAGGCAGUCAUAUAGACUGUGGGUAUGGUGGGAGUAGGGAUAAAAUGUAACAAAAUUGAGACAACUGAAAAUACAUAUGAGAUCUGCCACCUGCCUAGGGUGACCCUGAACUCUGAGCACCCUAAUCUGUUAAGUAUCGCUUGAGAUCCUCACAUUAUGAGGGAGAGGCAAGCAUUUCUGUUCUUUGGCCGUUAUGUGCUCCACAUCUAAGUUGGUAGGAUUCUCUGGAUUAGGACCCUCAGUGUCAGUCCCGAGCUCCUCCGACACCCUCUCUUAGCUCAUGCCUUUCUAUGGGUUUCUCAGAUGCCUGCAGUGUUCUACUUGCCCCACCUCAUUAGCAGUUAGAGCCUAGAAAUUCCUCUCUAAUGCCACUCCCUCUUGCUGAAGUCCUACACAGCUCCAGAAAACAGAAAA